rnacentral:piRNA from 1 species
UAGCAGUCACAUCAGGUUGCUCACAAUUGC